GUGCGGUGAAUCAGAGCCUAGGCUAAUGUGGUCCCAAGGGCAGGAAUCACAGCAAGCUACUUUCAACGUUCACUUCCUAGGCAAGGCUAAAGACUUUUAAAAGGGUGUGUGUGGGCCAAGCCCAGAGCAGCCUGGGACAUUUCAAACUGGCACCACCUCCUUCUGGCUGUCUCUGAGGCCAUCCGGAGGCCAGGGCUCAGUCAGUUGAACGGAAAAACUAAGGAGAGGACUGCAGAGUCUGAGACCUUUGCGCAGAAGGCUGGAGUGUGGAGGAAGGCGGGAGGGAGAAUCAGGAGGAGGGCGCUGGGUGCGGAGGCCCCACCUUUCAUUCCAGAGCUGUACCGGCCCGGGCGGGAUGAGUCAAGACCCGCUGGGUCUGCUGUGCACCUUCCCAUAGGUGAGGGAGUCGACCUCUCUGGGGAAAAACUGCAGCGCCUGCUAGUCCUAGCCUUGGCCUUGGCUGGGUGCUGGAGUCUUGGGUCUGCCGAGUCUGGCCUCUGGGGCCACGGCUGGCUUUCCCUGAUGUAUGGCAAGAGCCUCGCUCGUGUGCUUCCAUUUCUCCUGAGCUUACAGCUCACAGUCUUUUAUCCUACAACAGCAGUGGAAAUUUACACCUCCGGAGCCCUGGAGGCAGUUAACGGGACAGAUAUUCGGUUAAAAUGCACUUUCUCCAGCUUUGCCCCUGUGGGAGAUGCGCUAACCGUGACGUGGAAUUUCCGACCUCGAGAUGGGGGUCGUGAGCAGUUUGUAUUCUAUUACCACAUGGAUCCCUUCAGACCCAUGAGCGGACGGUUCAAAGACCGGGUGGUCUGGGAUGGAAACCCCGAGCGGUAUGAUGUCUCCAUCAUGCUAUGGAAGCUGCAGUUUGACGACAACGGGACAUACACCUGCCAGGUGAAGAAUCCACCGGAUGUUGAUGGUCUGAUCGGGACGAUCCGGCUCAGCGUUGUGCACACUGGUAGGUUUUGAGAAGUGAAAGCUGACCUCCCCCACCUCCAAAAAAAAAGCCAUCUCUCAGGAAGCUGGAAGGGAGAGGAGGGCUUAGGUCUUCACAGCUGGGAACUUCUGAGACUGAGGAGUCCCGGGGUGAAAAAAAAAAAAAAGACUCUGUUUGGUCAUGGAAAGAAACAAAAUAAUACAAAGUGAUCUGAGGAAUCUGUGACAAGAAUGGCCUUGAGGCUGUGGAAAGGACAGGAAGUGACUGAUAAAGACACUCACAAUAGGUCUGUUCAUUCUUUCAUUUAUUCAAGAUACUUAUUGGGUGCCUGGUGUGCUAGGCACAGUCCAAAGUACUUGAUACAGUAGCUCAUUUAGUCCUGACACAUUUAGUCUCCACAACAGUCAUCAGUGUUUACUCAGGACUCCUCGCUGUUGGGAGCUUUAAUGCUGUACAUUUUAUUUAUUCUUUUAAAAACAGUUUUAAAAUCUAUUUUAUGUGCGUGGGGGUUUGCUUGCACCUCUAUCUGUGCGUCACUUAAGUGAUUAAUGCCCUUAGAAGCCAAUAGAGGGCGUCAGAUCCCCAGAACUGGAGUUACAGAUACUCGUGAUCAACCACGUGAGUGCUGGGAAUCGAACGGAGGUUGCCCAGACAAAGCAGCCAGCGCUGUUAACUGCUGAGUCAUCUCCCCAGCUUCAUCUUACUUAUUCUUUACGCAUCUCACGAGUCUGUUAUAUAUUUAAUGUCUCCCACUUUAGUAAGAAGGAAACUGAGGCUCACCAAGGGCAAGUCACUUCCCUAAUUCAUGGUUAGUAAAUGAAGUCACGUCAGACUCACACCCAGUCAUCUCAGACUCUCAGACUGUUCUCCAACCAGUGGCAUGGGCUGCCUAUGCUGUAAGGACACCCGGAAAUGAUGCCCGGUGACAAAGGACUUGGACCACAACACUUCUGAGUUGGAGAACUGCAGUUGAGCCCUGGCUACUCUGUAUCAAUUAUACAUAAAUUUUGCUCUUGUCAUCUGAACAGUGAGAAUAAUAAAGAUUUCUGUGAGGACAGAUGAUACAAUGGAUUUGUGAAAGUCUCCCAAACUCUGAGUUGUACUGAAAAUUAUAAUAGUAACAUGUACCCUUAUUAUAGGCAGGCACAAUUUUAUUUUUUAUGAGCACUCAAGAAAUGGAUAUUGUUGGGGUUGGGGAUUUAGCUCAGUGGUAGAGCGCUUGCCUAGGAAGCGCAAGGCCCUGGGUUCGGUCCCCAGCUCCAAAAAAAAAAGAACCAAAAAAAAAAAAAAAAAAGAAAUGGAUAUUGUUAAUUCUUAACAUAGGAAACUCAAUAAAUAAAUAAACAAACAAAUAAAUAACCCAGGUCACACAGUUAAUAAGGUAGGGCUAGCUCUCUCUGGGGUGUGUGUGUGUGUGUGUGUGUGUGUGUGUGUGUGUGUGUGUUGCUAUUUGAGAAAAGAUCUCUCUGUGUAGUCUAGGCUGGUCUCAAAUUUGGAGAUCCUCCUGCCUCAGCUUCUUAAGAGUUGAGGCAAUCUGUAUUCCUAACACACAACAUUGUUUAAAAUGGUUUAGUCUGUUACAUGGUAUGGUUGUCUCCUAUUACUCCUUCCCAGUUUAGUUUAAAACCCUCUUUCUAGGCUCUCCUCCCAAGAGAGAGAUGCAUGAUCUACAUAAGUCCUCUGAGUACUGAAAAAAGUAAUAUAAUAUCUUUAGAUCUCAAGGGUUUUUUUUCUUUUUCUAAUAGCUAGGCCAAAAAAUCCCCUCAAAAACCAAAACCAAAAACAACAAACACCACACACACACACACACACACACACAAACACAUAUAUAACACACACACAUACACACACCACACACACACACAAACACAUAUAUAACACACACAUACACAUACCACACACCACACACACACACACAAACACAUAUAUAACACACACAUACACACACCACACACACACACACAAACACAUAUAUAACACACACAUACACACACCACACACCACACACACACACACACACACACACACACACACACACACACACAAUCUAGCAAUCAUUUAACACAUUAGUUUUUGAGAACCUACAGGAAGCCAUGACCCUGCAGAUGUAUUUUAGGAGAUGGAGGUACACCUAAAGAGACAGCCCAUUCUCCAUGAUGUGUUUUGGUGUUUUGCCUGCGUGUAUAUCUGUGUGCUUGGUGCCUGCAGAGUCCAGAAGAAGGCACUGGCUCCCAGGAGCUUCAUCCUUUUUGAUAGAUUUGAGGUUAAGAGAGUCCUGGGAUAAAUAUCCUCUUCAUGUCUCUUCUGGAUGUUGGGGCUUAUUGCUUUAUUUCCUGUCUUCCUUUUCAUUUCCAUUAUUACGACAGGAGCACAGCAAAUGCUUUAAAGCCUGGGUGAAUGAAUGACUGAGUGACGGGGUGAGUAGGGUUAUCCAGGACAGAGCUGGGCAUAGGUCUGACUAGAUUAGCAAAAACUUGAAUUACUGGGCAGUUCAAGUGACUCAACGGUUCUCAGUACUUGGGUGUGUUGACAUCAUCACGUGGAAAGCAUGUCCAAACAUGGAUUGCUGGCUUUAACCCCAAUGCUUCUAGUCCAGCCCGUUUGGGGUGGGGCCUGAGAAUUUCACUUCAAAGCUCCCCAGAGGAGCUGUCACUGCUUCUAGACUCACACUAGAGAAGCCUUGAUGGAGUCUGUGUAGGUUUCCGUCUGCUGCCAGAGGCUACAUGGACUUCAUAAAAUGCCCUUCUCCGAGAUCUACUUCCUGGCCGUGGCCAUUGGCUCUGCUUGUGCACUGAUGAUCAUCAUAGUGAUCGUGGUGGUCCUCUUCCAACACUUCCGGAAAAAGCGAUGGGCAGAAAGGGCGGAUAAAUCUGAGGGGACAAAAUC